GGAAGGGUGCCGGAGUGGAUUAACGGAACGGCCUGGAGAGCCGUGGUCUCUUUCGAGGCCUCGUGGGUUCGAAUCCCACCCCUUCCG
rnacentral:tRNA from 1 species